AUCAAAGACAAACCGGAUAGAUUUUAUAAAGCGGUAUCAUAGAGAAGAAAAAUAGGUGUUGCCUGUUUAUAUUAACAGACAAUACAUGUCAAGUACACGAUUUCUAACAAGUACCAUCAACGUCGUUUGCGUUGAUGAAGUUCCCAUGGUGCCGUUCUGUCGACUGGUCUACCAAAUCUCCCUCCCUACCCAUUAUUACAUUUAGCCCCCGUAAUUCCUAUGUUUAUAAAUGAUACCGUUGUAAUAAACACGAAAAUAAUGAUCAUUUACCAACAUAUAAAAAACAAAAAAGAAAUUGUCACAAGUAUCGACUGUUGCUUCCAACAUUUUAUACAAUGUGUCCGGUCAACGAUGUCGGAGCCGUUAAGGGCGUGUAGUACAAUCGAUUUCACCGAUAAACAGAGAUGUGUCUUAUUUGAAAUACUUGUAUUUAAAAUGCAAAUACAAAAUGCAAAAUACCUAUUUUGUAUUUAAAUACCUUUUAAAGAAAACUAUUUUGUAUUUUAAGUAUUUCAAAUAGUUUUUGGGACCUAUUUUCUAUUUUCAAAAUACAAAAUACUUUUUAUUAGGUAAAGUAAGUAGGAGUUACAAUCUCUUCUGACGUUACAAUCCUUGCAACUCUCCCAUUCUUUUAUGGCAACCGGUCUGGCCUAGUGGGUAGUGACCCUGCCUAUGAAGCCGAUGGUCCCGGGUUCAAAUCCUGGUAAGGGCAUUUAUUUGUGUGAUGAACACAGAUAUUUGUUCCUGAGUCAUGGGUGUUUUCUGUGUUUUUUUUUUUUAGUUUAUUUAUUCACUAUGAAUGUUUUGAAACAGGGUUUAACACAAUAAGCCACUAUUGAAAACCUCUAGGAUUUAUGUAAUAGUUGGCGAGAUCGCGCGGACCGAUCCGCGUUUGCUUAAUACUAUUUUUACAUACUUAGUUAUGUUUUCCUGUCGAAGCUGUUAUUGUAUCUAUCGUUUAAAUAUCGACCUUAUGUAUAUGUAUUUAAUUAUUUAUAAAUAUUUAUAUAUGUCAUUGUCUAGUACCCACAACACAAUCCUUAAUGAGCUUAUUACUGUGGUACUUAGUCAAUUUGUGUAAUUUGUUCGAGGGGGGUGGGGUUAGGGUCGGCAACGCGCAUGUAACUCCUCUGGAGUUGCAGGUGUACAUAGGCUACGGAGACUGCUUACCAUCAGGCAGACCGUAUGCUUGUUUGCCACCGACGUAGUAUUA